GAUGAACGCUGGCGGCGUGCCUAAUACAUGCAAGUCGAGCGAACAGACGAUGAGCUUGCUCCUCUGACGUUAGCGGCGGACGGGUGAGUAACACGUGGAUAACCUACCUAUAAUACUGGGAUAACUUCGGGAAACCGGAGCUAAUACCGGAUAAUAUAUUGAACCGCAUGGUUCAAUAGUGAAAGACGGUUUUGCUGUCACUUAUAGAUGGAUCCGCGCCGCAUUAGCUAGUUGGUAAGGUAACGGCUUACCAAGGCAACGAUGCGUAGCCGACCUGAGAGGGUGAUCGGCCACACUGGAACUGAGACACGGUCCAGACUCCUACGGGAGGCAGCAGUAGGGAAUCUUACGCAAUGGGCGGAAGCCUGACGGAGCAACGACGCGUGAGUGAUGAAGGUCUUCGGAUCGUAAAACUCUGUUAUUAGGGAAGAACAAAUGUGUACGUAACUAUGCACGUCUUGACGGUACCUAAUCAGAAAGCCACGGCUAACUACGUG
rnacentral:rRNA from 1 species